rnacentral:rRNA from 1 species
GACGAACGCUGGCGGCGUGCUUAACACAUGCAAGUCGAACGGAAAGGCCCUGCUUUUGUGGGGUGCUCGAGUUGCGAACGGGUGAGUAACACGUGAGUAACCUGCCCUUGACUUUGGGAUAACUUCAUGAAACUGGGGCUAAUACCGGAUAGGAGCUCCUGCUGCAUGGUGGGGGUUGGAAAGUUUCGGCGGUUGGGGAUGGACUCGCGGCUUAUCAGCUUGUUGGGGGGGUAGUGGCUUACCAAGGCUUUGACGGGUAGCCGGCCUGGGAGGGGGACCGGCCACACUGGGAUGGAGAUACGGCCCAGACUCCUACGGGAGGCAGCGGUGGGGAAUAGAGCACAAUGGGCGGAAGCCUGAUGCAGCAACGCAGCGUGCGGGAUGACGGCAAUCGGGUUGUAAACCGCUUUCGCCUGUGACGAAGCGUGAGUGACGGUAAUGGGUAAAGAAGCACCGGCUAACUACGUG